UACGUAGGGUGCGAGCGUUGUCCGGAAUUAUUGGGCGUAAAGGGCUCGUAGGCGGUUUGUCGCGUCGGGAGUGAAAUCCACUGGCUUAACUGGUUGGCUUGCUUUCGAUACGGGCAGACUGGAGGUAUGCAGGGGAGAACGGAAUUCCUGGUGUAGCGGUGAAAUGCGCAGAUAUCAGGAGGAACACCGGUGGCGAAGGCGGUUCUCUGGGCAUGUCCUGACGCUGAGGAGCGAAAGUGUGGGGAGCGAACAGG
rnacentral:rRNA from 1 species